rnacentral:misc_RNA from 1 species
UAAGACAAGCACCCCGCAGUACCCACCAUCUAUCGGCUUAGGUUAAUCGAGAGCCGGGUCUGUAGCUCAGUUGGUUAGAGCACCGUCUUGAUAAGGCGGGGGUCGAUGGUUCGAAUCCAUCCAGACCCACCAGACUCGCAUCGGCUCUUUAACAAUCUGGGAUAGAAGGUAGUUGUCUUCGCGGAAGUGGCGUUGUGAUGACGUCGCGAGUAGCGAGGACACUGGGUAAUGUAUUGCAUGAAUUGCAAGCGUGAGAAUUCCUGUGACCGCGAGGUUAUAG